UGUUACGGCAGCGACAACAGCGCGAUCAACAGAGCGGCUGUGGCGAGGGCGAUGCCCGCCGCGCUCCGAGCAGCCAGAAACCCGCUGGCAGGUCUGCAGCGGCUAUUUUUGAACGGCCCGAGCAAGAUAAAACUUGAAUCUCGGGGGAGGAGGGGGAGAGGCGCUGAUUUACAGCCGCUGUAAGGACUGAACCGUGACCAUUUUAUGUCUGAUGGCAGCAUUUUGAAGAAAAGUCACUUGUGGAGCAAUCAGCAGAUUCCCUCUCCACCUCUUCUGAUACAGUUCCUUGAAAAUACCUAAAAGUACAAGAUGUUAAAACACUAUGUCAUAUGGAUCAGCUGUUUGUCAGCCCAACUGAAGACAUUGACACUGCAGUUUCAUCCCCCAAAAAUUAGGAGUGGAGGAGAGACUAGGCUUAAAAAAGCAGGUCAAUAAGGAGAGUAACCUACUAAAGGAACUGCAGCGUAUACAUUAAAGAAACCAAACCAGCAGGAGGAAACUUCAGGAGGGGAAAGGAGGAUUAGGAGGAAGGCUCUGAAUCACAGGCUCAUAGAAGGGUUGAGGUAGGAUGGGACCUCUGAAGGUCAACUUGUCCAACCCCCCUGCUCAAGCAGGGCCACCCAGAGCCAGCUGCUUAUGUCUGUGUCUGGCUCCCAGCCUCGCUCUUGAGAGUGAGAGGCUCUGUUCGAGAGGAGUAGCUGCAGCUGUCUUACCUCAGCCCAGGCAUGCUGCAGGACAUAGUCCUUUUCUAAACUAAUUUCACAGCCUGUCUUUUCCGAAAUGUUCAACCUUUCCAUAAAGGCUUUCAGUCAGAGCCUGAUGGCAUCUGACUUUAGCUUUUCUGAUGCCAUAGUCUGACAAAGGUGGCUUCCAUUUUGUCAGAGCUUUGUUCCCACUGCCAUAUCGUAGCCUGCAAGCACAGCAAAAUGUCUCUACCAGAAGUGAGUGUGCAAACAAACAAAAGAACGUUGCAAAAAUAUUCAGCGUGAAGGAAAGCCACACCCGUCAUCUAAGCCCUUCCAAGUCUGUUUUUUCUCUGUAUUUAUAUACAAAUGUUCCAGGUUUGUUGGUUUAUUAAUUGCAAAUUUGCCUGUGUGAGCCUCUUGCACAUUUGUUAUGGUCUUUAUAAAGAUAUUCCUUGCAGAUGCCUUGAGGUCACACUUAAAACCAUGGUGUGAACUAUGCCAGACAUUGAGUUUGUGAAAGAGCUUCUUCCAGGACCGUGUGUGAUGUCUGCCUCUCUGCGCAGAGCAAUUCAGAAACAAGGUGCAACUACUGCAGGCCUCUCCCCGCUGCUCAGCAGCCACCACGUCUCCUCUCGGUCACGGCUGAUUCCCACAAGAUGGCACGGCACGAUUUAAUCUGAGCUUAAUCUGAGAUUUUAAAUGAUGACUCCUUUACUGACGCAAAAGUCUGCCAGCACACCGCCUCACUACACAUCUCUCACGAUCCACUUCUCUCACAGAGCGUCUUUGCAAUUUUCCCUGAAUCAAAGUAUUGCCCAUCUCUCCCUGUUGACAGCAAGUUUCUUUGCAGCAUUUCUGCAAAACAAAGUUGCAAUAACCUGAAAAUGAACGUAGUUUUAGGUUGUGUGAUCUACCUGAAACACUACUCAGGCAGCAGGUGACUGAAAUGAGAAGGAGCUGGGGAAAGAAAAAUGAAGACAUAAAUUAAGAGCGUGUUUUGGUUUAAGAUUUUUCAGCUCUAAUGGUUGUCAGUGUUAACAGUGCUUUGGUUUAAAUCAGUCUUAAAACAGACUUUGCCUAAAUCUUUAGAAAGAAAUUUAAACCAAAAUGGAAAAUUAACACUGGUUCAAUCAGUGUAACCCCUCAAUUUCAUAAAAUCUCCAUUAUCAAGUUGGAAAAAGAAGAAAUAAAAUUACAUUUCUGAUCAGAGACGAA